rnacentral:rRNA from 1 species
UGGGGAAUUUUGGACAAUGGGCGAAAGCCUGAUUCAGCAAUGCCGCGUGUGUGAAGAAGGCCUUCGGGUUGUAAAGCACUUUUGUCCGGAAAGAAAUCCUUGGCUCUAAUACAGUCGGGGGAUGACGGUACCGGAAGAAUAAGCACCGGCUAACUACGUGCCAGCAGCCGCGGUAAUACGUAGGGUGCAAGCGUUAAUCGGAAUUACUGGGCGUAAAGCGUGCGCAGGCGGUUUGCUAAGACCGAUGUGAAAUCCCCGGGCUCAACCUGGGAACUGCAUUGGUGACUGGCAGGCUAGAGUAUGGCAGAGGGGGGUAGAAUUCCACGUGUAGCAGUGAAAUGCGUAGAGAUGUGGAGGAAUACCGAUGACGAAGGCAGCCCCCUGGGCCAAUACUGACGCUCAUGCACGAAAGCGUGGGGAGCAAACAGGAUUAGAUACCCUGGUAGUCCACGCCCUAAACGAUGUCAACUAGUUGUUGGGGAUUCAUUUCCUUAGUAACGUAGCUAACGCGUGAAGUUGACCGCCUGGGGAGCACGGUCGCAAGAUUAAAACUCAAAUGAAUUGACGGGGUCAUAGCUGUUUCCU